AUUCUACUCCCUCCGUUGCACAAUACAUGCCUUCUAUUUGUCAAAAUAUAUAUGUAUCUAGACAUGUUUUAGUAUAUAGGUACAUCCAUUUUUGGACAAAUGGAAGUCAAGUUUUUGGAACGGUGGGAGUACACA
rnacentral:pre_miRNA from 1 species